UGAGGGGGGCUGCUCCUAGUACGAGAGGACCGGAGUGGACGUAUCACUGGUGUUCGGGUUGUCAUGCCAAUGGCACUGCCCGGUAGCUAAAUGCGGAAGAGAUAAGUGCUGAAAGCAUCUAAGCACGAAACUUGCCCCGAGAUGAGUUCUCCCUGACUCCUUGAGAGUCCUGAAGGAACGUUGAAGACGACGACGUUGAUAGGCCGGGUGUGUAAGCGCAGCGAUGCGUUGAGCUAACCGGUACUAAUGAACCGUGAGGCUUAACCUUACAACGCCGAAG
rnacentral:rRNA from 1 species